rnacentral:rRNA from 1 species
UAAUUGAAGAGUUUGAUCAUGGCUCAGAUUGAACGCUGGCGGCAGGCCUAACACAUGCAAGUCGAGCGGCAGCACAGAGGAACUUGUUCCUUGGGUGGCGAGCGGCGGACGGGUGAGUAAUGCCUGGGAAAUUGCCCGGUAGAGGGGGGAUAACCAUUGGAAACGAUGGCUAAUACCGCAUAACCUCGCAAGAGCAAAGCAGGGGACCUUCGGGCCUUGCGCUACCGGAUAUGCCCAGG